rnacentral:rRNA from 1 species
CCUACGGGCGGCAGCAGUGGGGGAUAUUGCGCAAUGGGGGCAACCCUGACGCAGCAACGCCGCGUGAAGGAUGAAGGUUUUCGGAUUGUAAACUUCUUUUAUUAAGGACGAAAAUUGACGGUACUUAAUGAAUAAGCUCCGGCUAACUACGUGCCAGCAGCCGCGGUAAUACGUAGGGAGCAAGCGUUGUCCGGAUUUACUGGGUGUAAAGGGUGCGUAGGCGGCUCUGCAAGUCAGAUGUGAAAUCUAUGGGCUCAACCCAUAAACUGCAUUUGAAACUGUAGAGCUUGAGUGAAGUAGAGGCAGGCGGAAUUCCCCGUGUAGCGGUGAAAUGCGUAGAGAUGGGGAGGAACACCAGUGGCGAAGGCGGCCUGCUGGGCUUUAACUGACGCUGAGGCACGAAAGCGUGGGUAGCAAACAGGAUUAGAUACCCCUGUAGUC